rnacentral:rRNA from 1 species
CCCUUAGAUGUUCUGGGCCGCACGCGCGCUACACUGACGGAUUCAACGAGCUUACAACCUUGGCCGAAAGGUCUGGGUAAUCUCCAAAAUCCGUCGUGAUGGGGAUAGAUUAUUGCAAUUAUUAAUCUUCAACGAGGAAUGCCUAGUAAGCGCAAGUCAUCAGCUUGCGUUGAUUACGUCCCUGCCCUUUGUACACACCGCCCGUCGCUCCUACCGAUUGAGUGAGCCGAUGAAACUGCCGGAUGUGGACUAUUCAUAGUCUGCAGAAGAUAUUUGAAUCGUAGCGCUUAGAGGAAGGAGAAGUCGUAACA